rnacentral:rRNA from 1 species
ACGGGAGGCAGCAGUGAGGAAUAUUGGUCAAUGGCCGGAAGGCUGAACCAGCCAUGCCGCGUGAAGGAAUAAGGUCCUAUGGAUUGUAAACUUCUUUUGUACGGGAGCAAUAAGGUCUACGUGUAGGUCGAUGAGAGUACCGUACGAAUAAGCAUCGGCUAACUCCGUGCCAGCAGCCGCGGUAAUACGGAGGAUGCAAGCGUUAUCCGGAUUUAUUGGGUUUAAAGGGUGCGCAGGCGGCACGUUAAGUCAGCGGUGAAAUGUCGGGGCUCAACCCGGGCACUGCCGUUGAAACUGGCGAGCUCGAGUACGGAUGAAGUUGGCGGAAUGUGAUGUGUAGCGGUGAAAUGCUUAGAUAUGUCACAGAACACCGAUUGCGAAGGCAGCUGACUAAUCCGCAACUGACGCUCAGGCACGAAAGCGUGGGGAUCGAACAGGAUUAGAUACCCUGGUA